GAACGCUGGCGGCAUGCUUUACACAUGCAAGUCGAACGGCAGCGCGGGGGCAACCCUGGCGGCGAGUGGCGAACGGGUGAGUAAUAUAUCGGAACGUACCCAAGAGUGGGGGAUAACGUAGCGAAAGUUACGCUAAUACCGCAUACGAUCUACGGAUGAAAGCAGGGGACCGCAAGGCCUUGUGCUCGUGGAGCGGCCGAUAUCUGAUUAGCUAGUUGGUAGGGUAAAGGCCUACCAAGGCAUCGAUCAGUAGCUGGUCUGAGAGGACGACCAGCCACACUGGGACUGAGACACGGCCCAGACUCCUACGGGAGGCAGCAGUGGGGAAUUUUGGACAAUGGGCGGAAGCCUGACGCAGCAACGCCGCGUGUGGGAAGACGGCUUUCGGGUUGUAAACCACUUUCAGGGGGGACGAAGCUUCCGAGGUUAAUAGCCUACGGGGUGACGGUACCCCCAGAAGAAGCCCCGGCUAACUACGUGCCAGCAGCCGCGGUAAUACAGAGGGUGCGAGCGUUAAUCGGAAUUACUGGGCGUAAAGCGUGCGUAGACGGUUAUUUAAGUCGGGUGUGAAAGCCCCGGGCUCAACCUGGGAAUUGCAUUCGAGACUGAAUAGCUAGGGUACGGUAGAGGGAAGCGGAAUUUCCGGUGUAGCGGUGAAAUGCGUAGAUAUCGGAAGGAACAUCAGUGGCGAAAGCGGCUUCCUGGACCAGUACCGACGUUCAGGCACGAAAGCG
rnacentral:rRNA from 1 species